rnacentral:rRNA from 1 species
CGUAUGUCGCGAGCGUUAUCCGGAAUUAUUGGGCAUAAAGGGCAUCUAGGCGGUUAUGCAAGUCAGGGGUGAAAACUUACGGCUCAACCGUGAGCUUGCCUUUGAAACUGUGUGACUAGAGUACUGGAGAGGUGGGCGGAACUACACGAGUAGAGGUGAAAUUCGUAGAUAUGUGUAGGAAUGCCGAUGAUGAAGAUAGCUCACUGGACAGAAACUGACGCUGAAGUGCGAAAGCUAGGGAGCGAACAGGAUU